CCAGCCCAUGCAGAGGAAGGACAGAGACAGGUCAGCCUGGCCCGAGCGCAGGCUGGGGACCCUGAAGAGGAGGAACGCAGGAAACCGGAGCAAACUCCACCAAGAGCUGACAACGACACCCCGCCUGGCCCCACAAAGUCAGAUGCCCAGAGCCGACACCCCGCCUGGCCCCACGAAGCUGGGUGCCCAGAGCCGACACUCCACCUGGCCCCGCAAAUCCAGGCGCCCAGAGCCGACACCCUGCCUGGCUCUGUGAAGCUGGGUCCCCAGAGCCUCUGGACUCCCCAGGGACCCCGCCGCACCCUUCAAACUUGGGCGUUGGGGUGAGUGCUGCCCCGCCCAUCCUAGGUCCUGCAGCCGACAGGGCAUGGGGAGGAGGAGGGAGGGGGUGCCCUGCCCUGGACAGUUGGGUGCCCCCGCCCACAUACCUGCCUUCUGGGCUGGCUUGGGGGGAUGGGGGGAUGUGGCUGCUCUGCCACCCAGCAGGCGCUUGAUCAGUCCCUCCUCUGCCCCAAGGUCCCAGCAACCCUGCCCCCACAGCCGUCUUGAGGGCAAAUGAAGCAGCCAGGAGACCCCAGAGACAUCAAGUAGGGUCCUCUCAGGGCUCCAAGGCCGCAGGAGAAGGGAGCUGUGCCACCUGGAGCUGGGGUCACAUCCCAGGACGGCUGCCAUGUGACCGCACUUCCUUCCCCCGGGCUGUCGUGAGGGCUGCGUUCAGAUGUUUGUAAAAGGUGUGGCACGGCACCUGCCCACACAUGCCGCAGCCAUCACUGCUGGCCAGCACCGCGUCCUCCCCACCUCCUCGGUCAUCUUUCAGGGGAAGCUGGAGCUGCCAGUGUGUGGGUGCCGCCCUGAGGCCAUGUGCAGCAUCCUGGAGCCAACAUCCACCCCUGCACCCCCACAGCAGCAGGAGGGCCCCCGGGGACCAGCCCGGCGUCACUGGCAGAGCGAUGCGGCCGCCACCCGUGGAGAAGCCCCAGUUGCGAGUCACGGGGGCGCUGCCCUCCCGGCCAGGGGUGAAUGAAGCCCUGGCGGCCGCGUGAAUGGGCCACUGGGCUGGCUGCACCCGGCUGGACACUCCGGCUGGCGUCACCUCACAGGAAUCCCGCCUGCUCCGGGGCCUCUGCCCAUUGCCCAAAGAAAGGUACACAGGAGGGAAGGCGCCGGGGCGGGCAGGAGUCGGGGGGAAGGGAAAUCUCGGCAUUAGAACCCCCGCUGCCUGCUGCCCAGUCACGCUCUGCCUUCACGGAACACAGGCUGUAGAUUCCAGGGACACGGAACUCGGGCCAGCCCCGACAUGUGGCGACGCUGCCGGCCCCUUGGCAGCCACCCCGGGCACACGAGGGCGAGCGGCACCUUGUGCUGUGGAUGCUUCCUUCCACAUAGUGUCCCCAAACCGGGUCACGGGACAGCACCAUUCCUACUUUAGCAAAAAGGACACUGAGGCCCAGAGAGGGCACGCCACGUGUCCACCAUCACACAGCCACGAGGUGGACUCAAGUCCAAGUCCCCUGGCCCCCUGAGCACCUCCUGGCCCGACAGAGCUUCCAGUCCUGCUGUGGGUGAGGGGUGCUCCUGAUCAGAAGUGGAGGUGGGGCAUGGAGGGGAGGCCAAUGCCUGCUGCGAUGCCAUCCAGGAGGAUGCCCCGAGAGGCUCAUGAGGGCCGUGAUGGGGUGGGGCCCCCAAGCUGGGUAGGGUGGGCAGAAGAGAGCCCGCACCAGGCCCUGGGGGCAGGCAAGGAGAAGGCCGUCAUGCUGUCUGCUGGCUGGCUCACUCAUUGUCAGGCAGUCGCUCCCUGUCCCUGUGGUCCACCCCUCCCUGUGAAGGGCUCAGCCGGCCCAGCCCCAGCUCUCACGAAAGGCCAGGCUCUCUAAUCCUGAGCUUACAGACAGCUGGCAGUGGCCGCAGGACAAUGAGUCCCCCGACUAUAAAAAACCACAUUACGGAAGGAGUGGAGCCGGCCCCGCAUUCCAUGGGGCGUCUGCAGAGCGUCACUCACCCCGAAGACACGGUCAACCGGGCAAGGCCUGGAGCACAGCCCACCGCCAGCCUCGGGCUCCCACGUGCCCACGCGACACCCUUGCCAGCCACCCCCAUCAUCCAUGCCAGCAGAGCUGACAUCAGUGGCCCUGGAGGAAGAUGCCCAUCUCCAAUGCUGGUCUGCCAAGGUCUUGGGCCGUGGCCUCCCAGGACACCGCACAACUAGGCUCUCGCUGGGCCUCCCUGGGUUCAUGCUCCACCCCUGCCCGCAGCCUCCCCGCUCCCACCCAGCCCCCACAGUCUUGGGAAUGCGCAAAGCUCCCUCUGCACACCAGGUCUGCCUGCCAUCUCCACUCAGGAGGCUGCCGUCCCCACACUCCACACCCCUGGCCACCUAGAACACCCCGGACCUUUCCAGACUCAGGCCACAUAACGACACCUUUCAUGAUGCUUUUCUUGGCCUCUGGCCCCCCUUCAGUCCCCUGACCCCGACAGCCCCUCUGUGGUGCGCUCACGGACGCCUCCUCUGGGGCAGAGCCCCACCUGCUGCUGUCCCGGCCGCCAGGCUGAGCACCUUGCCAGCAGGGAGCCCAAGCCGUCUGUGGUCUCAGUGUCCACCCAAGCGCCCAUAACCAGGAGACCCCCAGUGCUCAGCCUUGGGUGGAAAGACAUAGAGCCUGGCUCUGUUGCCUUGGUUGGACUGCAAUGGCGGGAUCUCAGCUCACUGCAACCUCCAACUCCCAGGUUCAAGUGAUUUUCCCACCUCAGCCUCUGGAGUAGCUGGGAUUACAGGCACCUGCCACCACACCUGCCUAAUUUUUGUAUUUUUAGUAGAGAUAGGGUUUCACCAUGUUGACCAGGUUGGUCUCGAACUCCUGACCUCAGGUGAUCCUCCCACCUCCGCCUCCCAAAGUGCUGGGAUUACAGGCAUGAGCCACUGUGACUGGCCACAUUCUUAAUCAUUUUUAAAAGUCAAAAUGAGUUUCAAAUGCUCCCGGUGGCCCCCAGAGGCUGGGCGAAGAGGCAGAUAUGGUGCUUGGACUGGACCCAGCUGGAGAGAGCAGGUAAGGGGGGAAAAAGGGGGCACCUCCAAAAGCUUCCAUUCACCCUCAAGGCCCAGCUCAAACGUCCCCCUGCGCCUCCAAAGCCCUCCCUUCCUAGGCUCUGGGUGGGCUCACCCUCUCUGGGGCCCACCACUGUCUGUGCUGCAAGCUGAGCCUGUCCCAGGGCGAGUGGCCCUCUCUGCAUCACUCUCCACCACGCACAGUCCGUCCCCGAAGGCGGGGCCCAGUCACUUGCCCGUGUGUGAGGCUGGAGCCCGCAGCCCUGAGCUGUCCACAGACCAUCGCCUGCCAUGUGCCAAGUGCGCUCGAGCCAAGCUCCAGGAGUCCACACUACAGGCCCGUGACCAACAGAGAUGGGGAAUUGGGCCACACUGGGGACCCGGGGAUUGCUGUCACCAAGCCACCUCCUGUCCCAUUCUGAACAGGCAGCUGUCCACAGACCUCCGCUCCCCAGGCACCAAGACCAGCCAGGCCUGUCUCCACCCGACCCCACCAGGGCCCCCGUGAUGCACACCCACGCCCAGCGUCUCAGGAUGAGUGAGGCGCAGCCAUCGCCUUGGGCCAGGGUCACCCUUUCUGCUCUCUGCAGAGCUGGCUAUGGUGGGGCCAAGUGAGGCGAUUCUGGGGAUCGGGGGCCAGGCUAGGACCUGUCCCUGGGGAAGGAGGGAAUGUGAAUUUCCUACACCCAAGAACUUCCAGGGCCUUCCCACGACUCCAGCCCAGCUGUGACCUCCAGACUGAAUGUGACGACACCCACAGACUUAUUGGGAUUCAGAUUCUGGAUAUUUCUCCGUCCCAGUGGCCCCGGUUGUCGGCCAAAUGGUGGCCCACAAAAUGUGUUCACAUACCAGGGCCUGUGAACAGGAGCCUCUGCAGAUGGAAUUGAUGGUCUCGGGAUGGGGUCACCCUGGGUCAUCCAGGUGGGCCCUAAGUCCACAGACUGCAAGACUGAAGAGGAGGCCCACGCAGGAGCCAGCAGGCGCAGGGACUGGAGUGGCACAGCCACGAGCCGAGGCCGCCAGGGCCACUAGCGGCUGGAAGGGGCAGGAAGGACCUUCCCAUGGGUCCUCCCCAAGAGCUUUUGGAAAAAGCGAACCCUGAGGACCCCUUGAUUUGGGACUUCUGGCCUCCAGGCUGCAGAAGGAACCCGUUCUGGACACUUGGCCCUCUCUUGGGGGUCAUCUGCUACAGAAGCCCCAGGAAGCUGAUGCCGCUGCCCCUGGACCACCCGAGUUGCCGGCUCCCUCCCGCCAGAGGCCCCAGGCUGCCCACACGUGCCGCAGACACCCCGUCCCUCCAGCCACACGGCCUGCACUCAGUGCUGCGUUGAGAACACCAUCGCGCGGCGGAGUCUAAGACCCAGCCUAAACCACCCAGGGUGGUGGCCACGCCUGUCUCCAGGAGGAUACAGCCCAGCAGGGCCUGCUGGGGACAGGGAUGGGUGGCUCGGCCAAGCCUUCCAGCCUGGCCUCCAGAACCCACCUGCCCUACGGGGUGUGCAGCCAUCGGUGACCGAAUUCCCAGAGCCCUUCCUCUCUCAGGCCAGGGUACCACCGGGGACGAGAACAUUCAGCACUGAGCUGCAAAGGCGGGUUCUGUGGGGCCAGCCCCUGUUUGCAGGUUCUGUGGGGCCAGCCCAGUUUGCAGGCUUGUGGGUUCUGUGGGGCCAGCCCGGUUUGCAGGUUUGCAGGUUCUGUGGGGCCAGCCCAGUUUGCGGGCUUGUGGGUUCUGUGGGGCCAGCCCCCAUUUGCAGGUUCUGUGGGGCCAGCCUGGUUUGGAGGUUUGCAGGUGGGGCUGCUCUAACAGCUUGCCCCGGAGAGGCAGCAGCGACACAGACGGCCCCACAAGAGUGCCCCCGGCUUUUGAGCAGCCCAGGAAAAUGGCACAGUAGCCUCGCCCUGGGGAGAAGCACAGCCCCAGGUGUGGGAUUGUUUACCAGCGGAAAAGGGGCCACCCACACCUCGGCAGGGAUGUGAACCUCCACGGCCUCAGAGGAAAAACAUCCAGUGUCCCCAUUCCAUUAUGGCCCAGACAAAAUAAGCAGGUCUCCAAGGAAACGGGUCCUCCUGCUGUGCCCCGGCUUAGAGGGUGAGCACGCGGCGCCACCCCGGCCGGCUGCCUGCCCGUGCCAAGGAAUUCCACAGACAGAAAGGAAGGUAUGGGUCCCCCUCCUCCAGGCACCCCCAAACCUAGCACACAACAGACAGGACAGGCUGCCCGUGCCAGGACAACUACAGCCUGCAGCUCUGGCUUCCCACACGACAAAGGACAGGGAUGCUGGGCCCACCCACUGUGCCCAGCCACCGCCAACCCACUCCCCAGUGGCUCCCGAAGCCCCAGUACUGAACCUCUGGCCUGCCGCAGGGAGGGCCUGGGGGCAGAUGGGACCCCGACAGGUGUCCUAGCUCUCCCGGGAACCACCCCCCACCCCACCCCGCUGCACCAGCUCACAGCUGGCGUAGGCAGCGGCCCUGCCCAUCCAUACUGGCUCUCCAAUCCCAGAGGGGCCAAGGCCCUUUGGACUCUGGCUAUGUCCCCUGCCAGCCCCAAGGGCCGAGACUCCGGGCCAGCUCUGCCCCACGUGCCUCCUGCAGCUGGCUGUGUAUGCCCCCAGUCCGUGGAGCCUAAGCCUCACUGCCCUGUUCCCCUUUCAAGGGUUAGAUGUCGUCUCCUCAAAGGCCCCAGCAGGGCUGGCUCCUGCCACAAGGCCCACUGGGUUUGCUCCCAGCGCCCAGCGCAGAAGGUGGCAGAACGUGGCACCCAGACGGGCUUGCGCCCGUGCCCCAGCUGGCCUUUGCAGGAUGAGGUCCCAGGCGGCCAGUGAGGCCCGUGUCCUUGCCUGCGUUUCCUCCACCCAGACACAUCCAGGCUCCACCAGAGCCCCCACCAGUGUGAGCCAAGUGCAGUCCCUCAGUCCUCUCAGCCCCAAACCAGGCCCACAAGAGGUCCCUCUGCCCGCCUUCAGCCCGGCCAAUGAGCAGCUGCCCCUCCAGAGAGAAGAGAGGAGGCGUCACACCCUCCGCGGGGACUGCAGGUCCACAGGGCAACCUGGCGCAUCUGCACCCAACAUGGAAGAAAGUGGAGGGGGUUGCUGGAACAACCUGCUCCUGCAGCAGCCCCGGUGGGCACCUCAGACUCUCUGGGGAGGGCCGGGUGCCUUCCUGCUCCCAUUUCUCUCACUCCCCUGGCUGAGGACAGCUCUCAGGCCUUCACAGGCCCAGAGGACUCAGGCCAUCCCCACCCACGGCCUGGCCACCUCACUGGGGACAUUAGGGCCGCUCUGGGCGGCCCACAGGUGGGGUGGCUGGCAUGUCCACCAGGAAUUCUUGGUCCAGGAAUGUGUUUCUGCGGUGCUUAUGCAAGAGCUCACACUCCCCACUGCUAAAUGCGUUUGUUCUUUGUUUUUUCCUUUCCAUGAAAUCUGGAUAUGAGCGGCUCUGAGGCUAUGUGGCCUCAGGCCCCGCCUCACAUCCCUGAACUCUCUCCCUCCAGUGAGGAAGAGCAGAGGUAGCCAAGGCCCAGCCUCGACACUCCACCCUGAGGUUCCUGCAGGCAGAGGACCUCGGACAUCGAGCGUGGGGAGACUCCGUCCACCUGCCGGCGCAUUCUGGAAAUGCCAGCAGGCCAGCCUGCAAGUGGGGUCGGCCGGCCCGAAGCCAGCAGUUCUCAGGGGAAGUGGGGGGUGCUGCUGCUGCCCAGUGACCCCACACAUCCGUACUUACAGUACCCACACCUGGUCCCGCCUUCAAAGAUGAAUCCGCUUGGCACGGCCCCGUAGCGCUGGAGGUCGGACAGCUUCCACUGCCCCGUGACAGCCGGGGGGAUGUCCCUGGCCAAGACGAGGACAUCAUUGCAGAGGUGCAGGCUGUGUGGCUCCAUCACAGAAGGGGAAACUGAGGCUCAGGGAACCCCCAGCCUCCAGUUCGGGUGUGGAGAGUCUGGAGUCUGCAUCGAGGCCCCAGCCUGGCCACGGGAACCUCAGGGCACCACCGGCCCUCUCUCCAUCCAGGUCAGCACGCCAGGCAGACAGCAGCCUCCCCACCAGGGGCCCCACCUGCUCCAUCUCCAACCCCCAGAGCCAAAGGGACCCCUGUUCCCAUCCCACCUCCCCCUUCUCUGCCUCCUCCACCUGCUCCAAGCUGUGGCCUCAGGCGCAUCCUUGUCAGGCCACGUUCUAUCAAGAUGAAACUGCCUGGGCGGUGCCCAGCAGCCUCUGUGCCAUGGCCCUGCGCCAGCGGAUGAAGGAAGCAGACCCAUGCCGCUGAGCCAGGCUGGAGGGAACCCCCAAUGGGAGAACUUUCUGGAAAGAUGCAGUUCUUCCCUCCUAAUGUCUCCUUCCCCUGCGCCCUCCUGCAGAGCCAACCGCACCUCCGCCCACUAAGCUCCCAGCUUCUCUUUCCCCACUCAAUGGAGCAGGAGGGGCUGCUGCCUUGGGGCCAAGACUGGGGGAGCGGGACACUCACCUCCAAGGCCAAAGAACUCAGCCAUCAAGGGCCAGGAUAUUUUAAUCAGUAUUCUAAAAAGUAAAGUUAUGCAGAGUCCAUGCUGAUCAAAAUAGCAAGUUUUUUUGUGUUUGUUUUUUUGAGACAGGGUCUCACUCUGUCGCCCAGGCUGGAGGGCAGUGGCACAACCUCAGGUCACCGCAACUUCCA